UAGCACCCAUCGAGACUAAAAGAUGAGUUUCAAUUUCAGCCCCGGUAGAAACAACCAUCCGGGAUAAAAAGAUGGCCGGCCUCUCCCUCCUCGAUAUUUCUAAGUCCCUGUCCGGCUCCUCUCUCUUAUCUCUCUACCCCUCUCAUUUCUCUACCUCUCAUCUCUCUCUCUACCUUAUCCUCUCUUGCUGAAGGAAUCGGGCGUGGAUAGGAUCCCGGGCAGCCGGUCAUCGCCGCCGCAAAGCACGCGGGCUGCCAGGCGCGUGGGCAGCUGGUGCUGGCCGCCGCUGCGGGAGCGCACGGGCCACUGGCGGCCUCCGGCACCGGCCGCGGGAGCCGGCCGUGGGUGAUUUUUUUCUUACUUUUCUAAAAUAGAGAUGCAUGUGGGAUUGUAUAGAUUGUAUCUAUCUUGUGAUGGAUUCUUCGAAUGAUUUUUUAAAUCUAUUGCUUUUGUAUCGGUCAAUUCAAUAUUUGUGAUUGAUUCUUCGAAUGACUGUCCCCACUACUGGUGGGGGAUGCGAGGGAAAUGAGAUGGGAUGUGAGCGGCGUGGACGGCCUGGCUCGACCCCGGCGGGCGGCACGGCCAGACCCGGCGAACAGCGGUGUUGAUGAAAAUUUCGGGUUGACCGGAGCGAGCGCCUGACUCGGUGAAGUCCAUCGGUGGUUGAGACGCGAUUCAAGAAAUCGAAUCACGGGUGUGACAACAUCCAUUGCCCAAGUUUAAAGUCCUACUUAAUCUCCGAUUUGGGUGCUCUACCUCUUUUUUUUCACGAUCGAUAAGUUUUCAGUCGCUUACAGGAACCCUUAUGAAGUCACUACGUUCCCAUCCAAGAGGAUUGUAAACAACUACAACCUGCAACAGACCAUUUGAAGGGCAGUAGCUUAUAUUCAGAAGUGGGCACUAAAAGUGAAUCAAUAAGAGAGGCUGUUUGAUUAGAGGACACACAUGUUCCGUUGGAGCUUGUGAGACAAGUCAGAGCAGUGUUGACACCAUUUUCAACCUGAACGAUAAGAGUAGCUAGUACAUCACAAUUUCUUUGACAAACUGGAAGGGCAUUGUAAGAAAAUCAUUCUGUA